CUCAUGUCAUAAAAGACACCCGGACACACAGAGGAAACCUUGAGGUUCAAACUAGAGCUGACGAGGAGAAACGGCACACAGCAGAGCCAUAAGAGCCUCAGGAUAUUGAUCUGUCCAGCAAGCUGACUGUCAUGCAGCUAAUAGAUUCCAUCAGCCAUGUCUGAGAGCUGAGAGCUGAAGUCAAUGAGGGGUGAUCCUAUUAACCGGGGAUUUGUAAACAGUUGAUUUGGAAAAAGCAAAGAAGAGGUUUUCUGAUGCUCGGUCAGGCCGGAUCAGGGUCAGAUCUGGGCUGGCUACCUUUAGAUGUAAGGCCAUGUCAUGUUAGCGUAAGACAACCGGUUAGAAUCUCUCUAGGGCCUGGUUUUCACUUGGUGUUGAUAGUUCACCCAAAAAUUCGGUCAUGUUGUUCCAAACUUGUAAGACUUUCUUCUGCGGAAAAACUUGAAGAAUGUUGGUAACCAAUGGACAAAAUCCUGAUACAUUUCUCAAAACAUGUUCUUUAAUGUUCCAUAGAGGAAAGUCAUAUAUGUUUCAAACAACAUCAGGGUGAGUAAAUGAGGAUAUAAUUUACAUUUUAGGGUGAACUAUCCCUUUAAGAUGAUCAUAAGUGCUCAGAUGACACACAUGACCAUUUACACCUGGCACUAAUGGACAUCUAUCUGCACAAAUGUUGAGGGAAAGUCUCUGAUUCCAUGACAAAUAAAUGAGCAGUAUUAGAGUUCUGAGCUCGUUGUUGAAAUAAAUUAAAAAUAUAAAAACUAAAAACUAAAAGCAGUCAUUUCAAAUGCUACCAGUGAAUUUUAACAUUAUUACAUUGUAAUAAAGAGAAUGAAAAAUGGGGUUAUACUUUAUUUUAAGGUGUACUUGUUACAGUAUAAUUAUACAUUUAAGUACUGAGUAAUAUUAAUUAGCUACUUGUACUUACUAUAUGUGACCCUGGACCACAAAACAAGUCUUAAGUCGCAGGGGUAUAUUUUUUGCAAUAGCCAAAAAUACAUUGUAUGGGUCAAAAUGAUCAAUUUUUCUUUUAUGCCAAAAAUCAUUAGGAUAUUAAGUAAAGAUCAUGUUCCAUGAAGAUAUUUUGUAAAUUUCUUACCGUAAAUAUAUCGAAACUUAAUUUUUGAUUAGUAAUAUGCAUUGCUAAGAACUUCAUUUGGACAACUUUAAAGGCGAUUUUCUCAAUAUUUCGAUUUUUUUUGCACCCUCAGAUUCCAGAUUUUCAAAUAGUUGUAUCUCAGCCAAAUAAAUCCUUUCCUAACAAACCAUACGUCAAUGGAAAGCUUAUUUAUUCAGCUUUCAGAUGAUGUAUAAUUCUCAAUUUAGAAAAAUUGACACUUGAAAAAGACUGGUUUUGUGGUCCAGGGUCACAUAUGGUUAGAUGUUAGGAUUAGGGUUUGGUUUAGGGUUACAUGCAUGUAAUUAUGCAUAAUUUAUUGUUAUUAUAAUAGUAAGUACAUGCAUAUCCCUGAUGUAGAUAAUGAAAAUAACAGACACGAGUGUGCACAAUUAUAUAUACAGUAUUGGCCGUUAUCGCUAAAUAAAGACAUUUCUAUUAUUGGCCAUAACAAUAUGAUAUCAGUAUAUUGUGCAUUGCUAGUUAUUUUAUUUGAAUGGUUAUUUAAAGCCUUAAUUAACCAGCAAAGUUUAAACCUUCGUUUAGUUUAGUAUUUGAUUGAUAAGUAAGCACAUGAGCAUUUACACUAUGAAUGCAUUGUGGCCACAUGUUUUUGACCACCUUCAAAUGUAUUUAAAAGUGGUAAUACUCUAAACAUUUUGUACUGUUUACACUAAUAUUUAGUGUUGUCUACUAGUGAUAAGAUGCCAGGCGUAAAUGGGGUCUAGAAGUUCUUCUUACUGUUUCUUGUUUUCCAUUUGGAAGAAAAAGACUGCAAAAGAGCAGCAGCAUAGCUGGCAACAGUGUAUUUUCAAGAGUGAAAAAUUAUUUUUGCAAAUAAAUAGAUCUGUGUCGCGCUUCUGCUAGGAGACAGCCUAACUCAUGCCAGGGUUCAAUAAUUAAUUCCUGUGUUGAGAAUUUCAGAGACGUGCUGAUUGGGCUGAUUUUCUCUUCUUCUUUUCCUCUUUUUUCUCCUUCUCUGUUAUGAUACAAAGGAGGCCGUUUGAAGUAAUUUGUCCCAGAGAGAGUGGCUUGGAAUACCAUACAAGCUUUGAUUUAGCAAAGCAAAUUUAAUUUUGUUUGCUUUAUGCAAACCAGCCAGGACCGAAGGGGCUUUCUCUGAUUUAGCUUUGGGGUGGGGGAGGUAUCCGGUUCUAAUGGGAGCGUGAGAGGAGCAUGUUCACGAAUGGAUUCGGUAUCUAAUAUAGCACACGGUUCAAAAGUACAGCACCCAUCCCCCUCUUCCACGCCUUGAAAUAAUUGUCUGUGUUGUCUUAUUUUUGUGCGUUUCAUCCUAAUAACGAAAGCAAUUCCAGCUUCUUUUGUUUUGCUUUUGGAGAACUGCCUGAUUUGAAUGUUUCCUAAUAUGCUUAGCUAAUCUUACGGUUGUGUGUCUAGCUGUGGUUAUGGAUCUAUUGGGCACGGUUCGCAAACCUUUACGACUGCUCUCCACGUGCUAUUGUGUUCUAGCCCAUAUAGCAAGGCCUUCUCUUCAGGGUCAAACCGUCUACUGUUUGCUAACUGUCUCGUUCAGCACGGUACAAGCAGCCAGUCAGGUUGGAUUCUUAGUAACAACCCUUAAUAACGGCGGUUUUAUAAUGAAAUGGACAAAAGCCAUCCCCAAGGUCACAACCUUAAAAACAUUGUAUCUCCAGCACUCAUUCCUACAUACUUUGGCUGUACCAUAUACUUAAUAGCGUUUUAGUCUGCGGUUUGUACCUGAACAGGGGGUAAAAAUACGAUGUAGGAAAUGGGUGGUCCACUUUUGUUGAAAGACUGUUCAAGAAAUAAUGAGUGAAUAAAGUAAAAGCCCAUUUUUACCAUUUUAUAUAUAUAAAUAUAGAGAGAAACCUCUCCUUGACUAGCCUCCGUUCUUUUGUUAUACAAAACUUAUCCAAUAUCUUUCAAGCUCUCUCCGCAGUUUAAAGGUCUUAAUUGGAUUCCAUCAAUAUAUUGCUUGACACGACCUCGGGUCCGCCACAUUCCCUCUCUACUCUGCGGAGGGAAGCCGCCUCAUUCAUUCCGUCAGGCUUUGUAAUGCUGUGAAUAUUCUUGGUUAAAUUGACGGUUUUCAGAGCUAUUAUUUAAGCCUGAUUGGACUGCAAAAGCAUGUUUUAAAUGAAGUGAAUGUCAAGAAAGAAAGAAAGAAAGAAAGAGAGAAAAUAGCAUGUUACCUCUACACACGGGUCCGUAUAAAGUAUCUCGCUCUCUGUAGGCCGACUCGAGUGUAAAACUUUGUAAGUAUAUGUAUGAAAGGUACAAAUGACUAGGUUAUUAAAACAGAAUUAGGCUGCCAGGCUUUGAGUAACAGUCAGCCCUGUCGUUCUCUCACUCUCCUUUUUCUUUCUUUGUUCCAUGGCUAUUGACGGGCAUGGAGAGGCGUUUGAUUGCCAAGACAGCAGUGACUGUGCCUGACCCUGACCCAAUAAAAGGAGCAGUCUACCACAUCCAUGACAGAUUCCAUAUGGGGUUCAGGUCAGGCAUGUUGGCUGGCCAAUCAAGCACAGUGAUAUCAUGGUCAGCAAACCACUUGGAAGUGGUUUUGGCACUGUGGGCAGGUGCUAAAGUCCUUCUGGAAAAGGAAAUCAGCAUCUCCAUAAAGCUUGUCAGCAGAUGGAAGCAUAAAGUGCUCCAAAAUCUCCUGGUAGACGGCUGCAUUGACUUGGGACUUGAUAAAACACAAUGGACCAACACCAGCAGACGUCACGGCACCCAAAUCAUCUCUGACUUCAGAAACUUCACACUGGACUUCAAGCAGCUUGGAUUCUGUGCCUCUCCAGUCUUCCUCCAGACUCCAGACCUUGAUUUCCAAAUGAAAUGCAAAAUUUACUUUUAUCUGAAAAGUGGACUUUGGACCACUGAGCAACAGUCCAGUUCUUUUUCUCAUUAGCCCAGCAAGAACGUUCCUUCUCAUCAGUCAGGACUCCAGUGGAGAUUUGUGAGGGUAUGAGAGUAUAAACACAUCCUCGCUGAUCAGAGACCAGCUCGUCCUGCUCUUGAACACUUCCAGACCGGCCCUCACACAGCUAUGACUGACUACAAAAAGAGAGAGAGAGACCGUGCGAAGAAGAAUAAUAUCCUGAGUCAGUGGGGAAAGGGAUGUUGGUUGCAAAGUAAAGUCAUUUAAAACCCACCCAGAUGCCUCCAGUAAUGUUUGUUUUUGGGCAAGUUUUGAAGUCAUCUCUCAGCAACGAAUGAAACACGAGGCCGCGGUCUAAAGUUCGCAGUUCCCCCGCGAACUGCAGGUCUUCACCGGCACAGAUUUCGCCAACACACCGGCACGAGAAUUAGCACUAUUUCAGUAAAAAGUGAUUACAGAGAAUGGUUGAAUACACUUAAAUUAAAAUGCUACUUCUAUAUGCCUUUUUUUAUUUCUACAAUGCUUGUUAAAUUAGUUUAAAUGUAUGUAAUAUUGUAAACUAUGCUGUAU